rnacentral:rRNA from 1 species
ACGUAGGGUGCGAGCGUUGCCCGGAUUUAUUGGGCGUAAAGGGCGCGUAGGCGGUCACGCACGUCCGUUGUGAAAUCGCUCGGCUCAACUGGGCGGGGUCAGCGGAUACGGCGUGGCUGGAGCAAGCUAGGGGGCAAUGGAAUUCCCGGUGUAGUGGUGGAAUGCGUAGAUAUCGGGAGGAACACCAGUGGCGAAGGCGGUUGCCUGGAGCUUUGCUGACGCUGAUGCGCGAAAGCGUGGGGAGCGAUCCGGAUUAGAUACCCGGGUAGUCCACGCCGUAAACGAUGCGGACUAGGUGUCGGGGGUAUCGACCCCCUCGGCGCCGCAGCUAACGCAUUAAGUCCGCCGCCUGGGGACUACGGCCGCAAGGCUA